GUCUAGUGGUCAGAUGCUGGCCUUGUAAUCCUGGGGUCCCGGGUUCGAUUCCCGG
rnacentral:tRNA from 1 species